AGUGUGACUGCAGCCACGGUGGAGGGCGGACGCAAGUUCAACUCUCCUCCUCUUUUAUACAUCUACAGCUGUAUCUUGCAUUAUACAUCUACGGCAGUGUGUCCUGCUUCAUACACUUACGACUGAAUUAUACAAGAUGGCAGCGGCUGAGGGCGAGCGGGUUGCCUGCUUCUCCCGUCCUCCAAUUUCCCGCCAAAAUGAAACUGACCCGGAGAAUUGGCGCCAAAUUUCCCAAGUGGGCCUCUCAAAAUUGAAGAUGCGGAAGGCGUUGUGGGUGACGGUUAAAAGCGUUUUGAUGGUAGAAGCCUCGGCCAACAACUACUGCUCUGAAGUCUGAUGUUCCCGUGAAAUAAAAUGUGACGUAGCCGUGUCAAGGCGAG